CAAGGCAACGAUCAGUAGGGGUUCUGAGAGGAAGGUCCCCCACAUUGGAAUUGAGACACGGUCCAAACUCUACGGGAGGCAGCAGUGAGGAAUAUUGGUCAAUGGACGGAAGUCUGAACCAGCCAAGUAGCGUGCAGGAUGACGGCCCUAUGGGUUGUAAACUGCUCUUAUACGGGGAUAAAGUGAGCCACGUGUGGCUUAUUGCAGGUACCGUAUGAAUAAGGACCGGCUAAUUCCGUGCCAGCAGCCGCGGUAAUACGGAAGGUCCGGGCGUUAUCCGGAUUUAUUGGGUUUAAAGGGAGCGUAGGCCGUUUGUUAAGCGUGUUGUGAAAUGUCGGGGCUCAACCUGGGCAUUGCAGCGCGAACUGGCAGACUUGAGUGCGCGGGAAGUAGGCGGAAUUCGUCGUGUAGCGGUGAAAUGCUUAGAUAUGACGAAGAACUCCGAUUGCGAAGGCAGCCUGCUGUAGCGUAACUGACGCUGAAGCUCGAAAGCGUGGGUAUCGAACAGGAUUAGAUACCCUGGUAGUCCACGCGGUAAACGAUGGAUGCUCGCUGUUUGCGUCUGACGUAAGCGGCCAAGCGAAAGCGUUAAGCAUCCCACCUGGGGAGUACGCCGGCAACGGUGCAACUCAAAUGAAUUGACGGA
rnacentral:rRNA from 1 species